rnacentral:rRNA from 1 species
CUAAGUUUGAUGGCGACCGGCGCACGGGUGAGUAACACGUAUCCAACCUGCCGAUGACUCGGGGAUAGCCUUUCGAAAGAAAGAUUAAUACCCGAUGGCAUAGUUCUUCCGCAUGGUAGAACUAUUAAAGAAUUUCGGUCAUCGAUGGGGAUGCGUUCCAUUAGGUUGUUGGCGGGGUAACGGGCCCACCAAGCCUUCGAUGGAUAGGGGUUCUGAGAGGAAGGUCCCCCACCAUUGGAACUGAGACACGGUCCAAACUCCUACGGGAGGCAGCAUG